rnacentral:rRNA from 1 species
AUUGAACGCUAGCGGGAUGCUUUACACAUGCAAGUCGAACGGCAGCGCGGACUUCGGUCUGGCGGCGAGUGGCGAACGGGUGAGUAAUGUAUCGGAACGUGCCCAGUAGCGGGGGAUAACUACGCGAAAGCGUAGCUAAUACCGCAUACGCCCUACGGGGGAAAGCAGGGGAUCGUAAGACCUUGCACUAUUGGAGCGGCCGAUAUCGGAUUAGCUAGUUGGUGAGGUAGCGGCUCACCAAGGCGACGAUCCGUAGCUGGUUUGAGAGGACGACCAGCCACACUGGGACUGAGACACGGCCCAGACUCCUACGGGAGGCAGCAGUGGGGAAUUUUGGACAAUGGGGGCAACCCUGAUCCAGCCAUCCCGCGUGUGCGAUGAAGGCCUUCGGGUUGUAAAGCACUUUUGGCAGGAAAGAAACGUCGCGGGCUAAUACCCCGUGGAACUGACGGUACCUGCAGAAUAAGCACCGGCUAACUACGUG